UUUGCGAGGGUCAGAGCCUGCUUAUCCCCCCCCCCACCCGCUGGAAAAAUGCGCGAUCCUUGCGAAUUUGUUGCAUUGCCUUGAUUGCUUGUUUAGUUAGCGAUUUUGCCAACUUCCUGAUGGUUCAUUUCUGAUCCUGCAAAAGAACCGCAUUUCCUUUUUGCCUUGAGAGGGGGAGAGAGAGAGACACGAGCGGAGGCUGGGGGCUGUUGAACUCGGCAAUCUAGCAGAAGCAUUUGUUUCUUGUCUCUGGAAGAAAACACUCUGAGAAAUAUCACUUGUGAUGUGCCUCAGUUUUUGAG